rnacentral:rRNA from 1 species
AGAGUUUGAUCCUGGCUCAGAACGAACGCUGGCGGCGUGCUUAACACAUGCAAGUCGCACGAGAAAGGUCCUUCGGGGCUGAGUAAAGUGGCGCACGGGUGAGUAAUGCAUGGAUAACCUGUCCCCGAGUGGGGGAUAACCCCGGGAAACCGGGGCUAAUACCGCAUGACACCGUGGCUCCCUCGGGGGCUGCGGUCAAAGCUGGCCGCUGCUUGCAUGCUGGCGCUUGGAGAGGGGUCCAUGCCCCAUUAGCUUGUUGGUGAGGUAACGGCUCACCAAGGCUCCGAUGGGUAGCCGACCUGAGAGGGUGAUCGGCCACACUGGGACUGAGAUACGGCCCAGACUCCUACGGGAGGCAGCAGUGGGGAAUUUUGCGCAAUGGGCGAAAGCCUGACGCAGCGACGCCGCGUGGAGGAUGAAGGCCCUUGGGUCGUAAACUCCUGUCAGGUGGGAAGAAAGUCGCUGGGUGAAUAGCCCGGUGUCUUGACUGUACCACCAGAGGAAGCCCCGGCUAACUCCGUGCCAGCAGCCGCGGUAAUACGGAGGGGGCGAGCGUUGUUCGGAAUUACUGGGCGUAAAGGGCGCGUAGGCGGCUGAUCAAGUCGGGUGUGAAAGCCCUCGGCUCAACCGAGGAAUUGCACUCGAUACUGGUCGGCUAGAGUCCGGGAGGGGGUAGCGGAAUUCCCAGUGUAGCGGUGAAAUGUGUAGAUAUUGGGAAGAACACCGGUGGCGAAGGCGGCUACCUGGACCGGAACUGACGCUGAGGCGCGAAAGCCAGGGGAGCGAAUGGGAUUAGAUACCCCGGUAGUCCUGGCUGUAAACGAUGGGCACUUGGUGUGGUGGGUACUGACCCCUGCCGUGCCGUAGCUAACGCGUUAAGUGCCCCGCCUGGGGAGUACGGUCGCAAGGCCGAAACUCAAAGGAAUUGACGGGGGCCCGCACAAGCGGUGGAGCAUGUGGUUUAAUUCGAUCCAUGCGAAGAACCUUACCUGGGUUUGAAUUGCCGGUGACCGCUCCAGAGAUGGAGUUUCCCUUCGGGGCACCGGUGAAGGUGCUGCAUGGCUGUCGUCAGCUCGUGUCGUGAGAUGUUGGGUUAAGUCCCGCAACGAGCGCAACCCUUACCCUUAGUUGCCAUCGGGUCAAGCCGGGCACUCUAGGGGGACUGCCCGGGAUAACCGGGAGGAAGGUGGGGAUGACGUCAAGUCCUCAUGGCCCUCAUGUCCAGGGCUACACACGUGCUACAAUGGCCGGUAUAGAGGGCAGCGAAGCUGCGAAGUGGAGCGAAUCCCAAAAAGCCGGUCCCAGUACGGAUUGGAGUCUGCAAUUCGACUCCAUGAAGGUGGAAUCGCUAGUAAUCGCGGAUUAGUAUGCCGCGGUGAAUACGUUCCCGGGCCUUGUACACACCGCCCGUCACAUCACGAAAGUUGGCUGCACUAGAAGUCGCUGGGCCAACCCUUCGGGGAGGCAGGUGCCGAAAGUGAGGUUAGCGAUUGGGGUGAAGUCGUAACAAGGUA